rnacentral:rRNA from 1 species
UAGCGGAGGAAAAGAAACCAACAGGGAUUGCUCUAGUAACGGCGAGUGAACAAGCAAAAGCUCAGUUUUGAAAGCCUACUUUGUAGGCAUUGUAUUCUGAAGCCUAGAUUCUGGGAAACGGUGUUUAAGUCUUCUGGAAAGGAGCGCCACGGAGGGUGAUAGCCCCGUACGGCACUGACCCCAUUGUAGUUUCUAGGCGUGGAGUCGAGUUGUUUGGGAAUGCAGCUCAAAUGGGAGGUAUGCUCCUUCUAAAGCUAAAUAUUUGCGAGAGACCGAUAGCGAACAAGUACUGUGAAGGAAAGAUGAAAAGAACUUUGAAAAGAGAGUGAAAUAGGACGUGAAAUUGUUGAAAUGGAAGGGUAGGCUGCUAACCAUGUAGGACCGUGUCUGAGGGGAAGAUAAAACGCUACCGGAAUGUGACUCUUCGGAGUGUUAUAGCCGUGGUCAAUGUUCCCACUUAGGCGCGAGGUUCUC